rfam:Georgenia sp. STBG003 Ion020_assembly_rep_c2366, whole genome shotgun sequence.
GUCCGGGUGGCGGAAUAGGCAGACGCGCUAGCUUGAGGUGCUAGUGCCCUUUAUCGGGCGUGGGGGUUCAAGUCCCCCUCCGGACA